AACGAACGCUGGCGGCAUGCCUAACACAUGCAAGUCGAACGCGUGGAGCGAUCCACGCGUGGCGCACGGGUGAGUAACGCGUGGGAACCUGCCCCGGAGUGUGGGAUAACCCGGCGAAAUCCGGGCUAAUACCGCGUACGACCUGAGGGUGAAAGCUUUAUCGCUCUAGGAGGGGCCAGCGUAGGAUUAGCUAGUUGGUGAGGUAAUGGCUCACCAAGGCGAUGAGCCGUAGCUGGUCUGAGAGGAUGAUCAGCCACACUGGGACUGAGACACGACCCAGAUUUUUGCGGGAGGCAGCAGUUGGGUAUAUUGGACAAUGGGGGCAACGUUGGGCCAGCAAUGCCGCGUGGGCGAGGAAGGCGUUAGGGGUGUAAAGCCGUUUUGCACGCGACGGUGAAGACGGUGGCGUGAGAAGAGGCCACGGCUGACUUCGUGCCAGCCGCCGCUGUAA
rnacentral:rRNA from 1 species